CCUAGAGGAGGCAGAAUUGAGGAAUAUUGAACAAGGGGCGCAAGCCUGAUCCAGCCAUGCCGCGUGCAGGAAGAAGCAUCUAUGGUGUGUAAACUGCUUUUGUACAGGAAAAAACACUCCCUCGUGAGGGAGCUUGACGGUACUGUAAGAAUAAGGAUCGGCUAACUCCGUGCCAGCAGCCGCGGUAAUACGGAGGAUCCAAGCGUUAUCCGGAAUCAUUGGGUUUAAAGGGUCCGUAGGCGGUUUGAUAAGUCAGUGGUGAAAGCCCAUCGCUCAACGAUGGAACGGCCAUUGAUACUGUCAUACUUGAAUUACUAGGAAGUAACUAAAAUAUGUAGUGUAUCGGUGAAAUGCUUAGAUAUUACAUGGAAUACCAAUUGCGAAGGCAGGUUACUACUAGUGGAUUGACGCUGAUGGACGAAAGCGUGGGGAGCGAACAGGAUUAAAUACCCUGGUAGUCCACGCCGUAAACGAUGGAUACUAGCUGUUGGGUGCAAACUCAGUGGCUAAGCGAAAGUGAUAAGUAUCCCACCUGGGGAGUACGUUCGCAAGAAUGAAACUCAAAUGAAUUGACGG
rnacentral:rRNA from 1 species